UUAUAAUUGGUGGAUGGGAGGACACAGAUUAGGAACACAGAAACAAAUGAGGUAACUUCUGUCACUGUCACCACCAUGACAACCCCCUGCUGGAAAGGCAUGAGUCAUCCCAGCUGAGGACAUCCUAAAUCAGCCAGCCCCCAGCCAACCUACCCACUGACCACAGAUGCAUGAACAGGGUCUUGCUCUGUCUCCCAAGCUGGAGUGUAGCAGCAUGAUCAUGGCUCACUGUGCAGCCUCAACCUCCUGGUCUCAAGUAAUCCUCCUGCCUCAGCCUCCCAAGUAGCUGGGACUAUAGGUUGAGAGGUCAUUCUUACCAACAGCAGCAAAGACCAACUCAUAGAAUCAGCGAUGAAUCUUCGUGUUUCAGCAGAGGGAAAAUAACCGCCUUUAGCUCACCUCGCGAUUGCUGUA
rnacentral:lncRNA from 1 species